GUGGCACUAGACCCUGCUACGGCUCCUUGAGCCAGCCUCAGUCCUCUUGGAGACCGACAAGUCAAUCGCUCCUCUUGGAGGAAGAGUCCAAACAGCCCACGGGCAGCCCCUGGCCCCGAAGCUUCUGAGCUCAGAUGGCCAGCGUGGACUCUCUUCACUUCCCCAAUUAUAUUAAAAAUUAUUUUAAAAAAUAUAUUAUUUACAACUUUGACUUAUUUUCUUUGUCUUGUCACAUUUACCUUCUUCUAUCUUUUAGGGAUUCUACAUCACUGUUACCUGUGGAUUGUUCCUUCUCACAUUCUUUUUAAAGGUGCAAUAGAUAUUUUUGAAAUGUGUAGAGGGAGAGGGAGGUCAGAGGCUACUCUCAUCAUUUGGGUCCAGUGUCAAGCAUUCUGGUUUUUUGGUUUUGUUUUUCGUUUGUUUGGUUGUUGUUGUUGUUGUUUUUGAGUUUCUGGAUGUUUGUGUUUCCUUUGAGAGGGACCCUAAAGCAUGUUUUAGGCAGUGACUGAGAAUUUUCUUCCACAGGUGUCUUGUUUGUUUACUUCAUAAAAAAAAAAAUCUAAAAGUGUACUUUCUUCUCAUCUCUCCCCCUUUUAAUUCCCUUUCCUCCUCAGUAGGGUGGCCAGUAAAUACAGCUGGCAAAAAAAAAGUCAGCCUUAAACAAAGCCAGUGAGGAUGUCAAGCCAGGUAAGUAGGCAUUGUCAUAAGAGCGGUCUCCAGCAGGGAACCCAGGCCAUGCAGGAGGCGUCCACACAGGGGUCCAAGUUCCCAGCUCUAACGCGGAUCAUAUCCUUGGGAUGAGAAGUGGUCUGCAGGAAGUCAGACCGUGACACGACAAGAGGCUGAUACUUUCUGUGCUCAGGAUUACGCAUGUGAAACUGGGGUCUACGUGCAAGCCCAGGCAUGGAUGACUGUGAUAAGAUGGAAACCAAAGUCACCGGAGACAAGAAGAAGCAACUAACAAGGAUUCCCAGUGCAUUUGUCGAUCAAACACACGGAGCUCUAACGACCAACCCUCUUCCUGGACACAGGGGGAGAUAGGAGGGGUUUUACCUGUGCCUUUGUCUACCCAUGGUUAUGGGCCAUGCUGGCUCACCCUCUGAGCUACAGCAUCCUUAUCUACCAUGCAGGAUUACACUUGCCACAUGGACUUCACAGGGGGAAUUGGGGGGAAAUGCCUUUCUCUGUGUGUAGGAAGUAAAGGGCCCUUACGGAGAA